rnacentral:lncRNA from 1 species
CCUAACUGUCCCUGGCAGCUGAGAUUUGCAUUGUCCUAGAAUAGCCCGUUGCUUUCUCCACGCUUCUAGAAAUCAUCCAAGUAGAAGGCAAUUUUCAGAGUGUUAGCUCUAUCCUGAAAGGCUGAUCACAAAUAGGGAUGAGAUCCUUCUGACCAGUAACAGACAAACAUUUCUGCUCCAAAGAACGUGGAAACUUAGAACAUGACAGGAGGAGGAUGUAAUGAGCCUGGAGGAAAGUAGAAUGCCUGUUCUUUGUUUCAUCUUUGUCCCUAACUGUCCCCAGUCUCACUUGGAAUUUCACUAAAAGGUUGUGUGCCAGCAGAAGUAAGGAGGAGACUGCACACUUGCUUUCAUGAGCUGCACGAACUACUGAAAUAGAGACGUUAGGUGUGCUAUCUGUUGCCUCCUAAGAUACAGCAUUCUUCGUGGGUAGGUGAUAUUAUCCACACACAUGCUCCUCUUCAAAGCCAUGAAAACAUUUCAUUAGACCAUGAUAGCCAUCUUUUUCUCUACCAUACAACCAACUGGACCCAAACUGAAUGUGGCUUUAUAAUCUAUUUUUUUUGGAUAUGUAUCAAUAGGUGGAUAACUCUAAGCCCUAGUAUUCUCAGUGCUGCAAAUAAGCAAACAAAAAUGCAAAACGUAUUUGAGUUAUAACUGUGUUUUCUUCUGUAUUCUGAGUAUCAGUGACAGAAUCUCAAAAGUAAAAGUGUAGAUUGAGCCCCA